CGCGCUGGGGUGUGUCCCUCCGUUUCCAUCCUGUCAUGCACCGGACAGCGGGCUGAAAAGGAGACAAAAGGGAGAAGGCAGAAGGCCAGGAGGACUCAGGCAGGCAGCAGCAUGAAGUUCCUUUCAGCCCAGGUAUUUACCACCAGGUAUGAAGUGCUUGCGGAUAGCUGGGCUUUAGCUUCUGGAUGCAGUCUGACGUCCCUCAGGGAGAACUGGGAAAUGGAAGUGAGAAUGUUAAUUGCAGAAAACUGAAAUUUCGAGUACCACAGCUGCCAGUUAGAUUAUAACCAUGUCAAGAAGACCUUUACUUCAAUGAUAGCAACAAGAAAACUGGACACAACGAAAUUUUAAAAGACUUCUAAAGGGACAGAGAAGAGUGUUGGAUGCGGGAAAGAUAAAUACAAUUCUAGAGAGGAACAGCAUUCUAGAAGAGAACUAAGUGCAGCAGCCUCUUCCAGGCGGUUUUCAAUGGCUGAUUCUGGUUCCAAGAGGCCUCCCGUGGACUAGGAGUAGAGAGACAUCACCUAGGCUCGGGCGUUCUUUAGGCAAUUCAACUCCAGACUCUGUGGAUUUGACUGAAGAACUGCAUCAAAACCAUAUGACUCAAAUCGAAACCUAAUUCAAGGGUAUCCAAAAAGAACAGAGAUAAAAAUGCACUGGAUAAAUACUUCUACACUGAUUUCAACAGAAGUGCCAAUGCUAAUCAACAGGAAAUGAAAAAGGUUUUAAAGCAAAAAUAAAACAAAUAGACAUACAUAUGAGAGGUGGGAGUGGGAAUUAACCACUGUCAUCCAUAACACACACAAAUAAUUUGUAAUGGAUCAUGACUUAAAAGUACAAGUUAUGUUGGUAAAACUUCAAAUAGAAAGAUAAGUGAUACAGCGGAUUACACCUGAGCUGUCAUCCUUGACAGAUGCUCAAUGGGCUUCCCACCAAAGCUUUAGUCUUCGUAUUGCAACAUAGGCAUGAUGGCCACCUGCAAAACAGUCAAGACUGGCUGAGGCAGAGUGGAGUGUGGAGCCCACUGCUUAGUGCAAGUGCUCUCCUGCAGGCAUUCAAAAGACCCCCCCAAAAAACAACAACAACACACACACACACACACACACACACACACACACACACCAUCAUCAGAGUCCAUAUUGUUAGUGAUCCCUAUGCUAUGUAGGCAAUGCUCCCUUUACCCCUGAGGACGACCCAGACUGCAGGAAGAGCGAAAAGCUUUAGCCUCAACCUUGGGUGACCUGGUCCUCUUUCCUAGGCCUUUGCUCUGACAACACUGAAAGCACUUGGCUCAAGUCUGUCUGUCUGUUUGUCUGACUGUCUGACUCUCUCUCUCUCACACACACACACACACACACACA